rnacentral:lncRNA from 1 species
UGUAGCUGGGAAAGCACAGCGUCCCUGACCCCAGGUCCUCGGUAAGCCCCAGGUCUGACGCUGGCAGCGGCCUCUGACUUGGGAGUGACUUCCUCACAUCAAGAAGCGGGAGCCCAGAGAGGCUGGCAGUGCCAGGUUCAAACUUAGAGCCAUGGGCUCCCAGUCCUUUCAACUGGGUUCUUUCUCACACGUGGAGCCGCCUACAGGUUCCUGUGUCAUCUAAUUUUCAGGUGGACUCGGGAACAAGGACGGGCUGAAUUCAGCUACCGCCUCAUUUAAUGUGGAGCCGUCAUUCAGGACGUGUGUCUCCAUCGGAGACAAAGCCAGCCUUCCUGUGCGUGGCAUAGCGGGAGCCCCAGUCUACAUAACUGACUCCAGCAAUUUCCUCUCCUAACCACACCUGCCACUCUCCUCCCUACCCUGAAAGUAAUAGGACUCAGCUUCCACAGCCACCACGCCGUUCACACCACCUUUAUGUCAAGAGGGUCACAGCAUCCCAGGGAGGUCAGCAGGGAAGGUCCCAGCAUCCCCAUCACACAGAGGAGGAAGCUGAGGCCAGGAGGGCGUCUGGCCGGUUCAAGAUUACAAAAUCUUCCCAGGGCAAGAACCUGCAUCUUCUCUAUUCUAGAUGGAGUUUCGUUCUUGUUGCCCAGGCUGGAGUGCAAUGGCAUGAUGUCAGCUCACCGCAACCUCCACCUCCCAGAUUCAAGCGACUCUCCUGCCUCAGCCCCCCUAGUAGCUGAGAUUACAGGCAUGCGCCACCACGCCAGGCUAAUUUUUUGUAUUUUUAGUACAGACCGGGUUUCUCCAUGUUGGUCAGGCUGGUCUCGAAUUCCCGACCUCAGGUGAUCCACUCGCCUCGGCGUCCCAAACUGCUGGGAUUACAGACAUGAGCUACCACGCAGGUGAUUUUUAUACAUAUGGCUAAGCACACUCAGAUCUUCAGAACUAAAGCCAAUGAACAUUAAAAUGGAAUACCAUGUUUAACUAUUGAGCUGGUAAAGACUUAUUUUUUAUAAAGUAAUAUCCUAUGUCAGGGAGGGUAUAGUGAAAGGAACAUUUCCUAUACUAUCAAUUUCAAAGUCAAUUAACACAGUCUUGCUCCAGAAAACUUUGUCAAUAUUUAGCAACUGUCUUAACAUUGCUUAUGCAAAGUGAUCCAGUAAUUCAUAUGAAUAAAUCACCCUAAGGAAAUAGCUGGAGACAUGAACAAAAAUAUGUAAAAUGAUAUUCACUGCAGCAUUGUUAAUGAUAUAAAUAAAGAAAUAUUCUAAAUACCCAACAAUAGAAGGAUUAGCCAAAUGAUGCAUGUCUCAGCUGAAUGGUGAGAUAUAAUAUGUCAUUAAAAUCAUAUUUAGAAAGGUAUUAGUAACACGAGAGAAAAGCUUGCAAUAUAUUGUUACAACAGACUGAAAUGGCCUCAGUUCUUCCAUCUCAGCAUACACCAAUGAGCCCUGGUCUCCUCAGGGCUGGAUAUACUUUCCACCCCUCUGACUUUUGGCUCAACCCUGUUGAUUUGCUUGGAAACUUAAAAUUUCCAAAGUGACUUGCUUUGGCCCAUGACAGGUAGGU